UACGGAGGGUGCAAGCGUUAAUCGGAAUCACUGGGCGUAAAGCGCACGUAGGCGGCCCGGUAAGUCAGGGGUGAAAUCCCACAGCCCAACUGUGGAACUGCCCUUGAUACUGCCGGGCUUGAGUACCGGAGAGGGUGGCGGAAUUCCAGGUGUAGGAGUGAAAUCCGUAGAUAUCUGGAGGAACACCGGUGGCGAAGGCGGCCACCUGGACGGUAACUGACGCUGAGGUGCGAAAGCGUGGGUAGCAAACAGG
rnacentral:rRNA from 1 species